rnacentral:rRNA from 1 species
AAGUCAGGCAACGAGCGAGACCCACGCCAACAGUUGCCAGCUCGUCCUCCGGGAGUGGUGGGGACGACUGUUGGGACCGCCUCUGCUAAAGAGGAGGAAGGAAUGGGCAACGGUAGGUCAGCAUGCCCCGAAUUAUCUGGGCUACACGCGGGCUACAAUGGGUGGGACAAUGGGUAUCGACACCGAAAGGUGAAGGCAAUCUCCUAAACCCAUCCGUAGUUCGGAUUGUGGGCUGCAACUCGCCCACAUGAAGCUGGAAUCUGUAGUAAUCGUGUCUCAAAAUGGCACGGUGAAUAUGUCCCUGCUCCUU